rnacentral:rRNA from 1 species
AGUGAACGCUGGCGGUAGGCCUAACACAUGCAAGUCGAACGGCAGCACAGUAAGAGCUUGCUCUUACGGGUGGCGAGUGGCGGACGGGUGAGGAAUACAUCGGAAUCUACUUUUUCGUGGGGGAUAACGUAGGGAAACUUACGCUAAUACCGCAUACGACCUACGGGAAAGCAGGGGAUCUUCGGACCUUGCGCGAUUGAAUGAGCCGAUGUCGGAUUAGCUAGUUGGCGGGGUAAAGGCCCACCAAGGCGACGAUCCGUAGCUGGUCUGAGAGGAUGAUCAGCCACACUGGAACUGAGACACGGUCCAGACUCCUACGGGAGGCAGCAGUGGGGAAUAUUGGACAAUGGGCGCAAGCCUGAUCCAGCCAUACCGCGUGGGUGAAGAAGGCCUUCGGGUUGUAAAGCCCUUUUGUUGGGAAAGAAAAGCAGCAGGUUAAUACCCCGCUGUUCUGACGGUACCCAAAGAAUAAGCACCGGCUAACUUCGUG